rnacentral:rRNA from 1 species
UACGUAGGGGGCAAGCGUUGUCCGGAAUCAUUGGGCGUAAAGCGCGUGUAGGCGGUUCGGUAAGUCGGCUGUGAAAGUCCAGGGCUCAACCCUGGGAUGCCGGUCGAUACUGCCGGACUAGAGUUCGGAAGAGGCGAGUGGAAUUCCCGGUGUAGCGGUGAAAUGCGCAGAUAUCGGGAGGAACACCAAUGGCGAAGGCAGCUCGCUGGGACGUUACUGACGCUGAGACGCGAAAGCGUGGGGAGCAAUCAGG